rnacentral:misc_RNA from 1 species
ACUCUUUCUUCAACCUAAAUCCUUUAAUUCUUACUAAAUGAAAUGUUAGCUUGAAAUAUCUAGGGCCUAGGGGCAUUUUCACACUUUGCUUUGUUGGUUCACACUUCACAAUAAUGGAAAUAAAUCAUAGAUUCAAUGUCUCUAUUUGAUGUAUAUGUGCUCAUUAGUUAGUUGUACUUUUCAAAUUUUUUUAUAAACUCCUUUAAUAUUUAUUCAUUUUAUG